GCACUGGUGGCUCAGUGGUAGAGUUCUCGCCCUCCAUGAGGGAGACCUAAGUUUGAUUCCCACCCAGUGCA
rnacentral:tRNA from 1 species